GUGAUUGCUUCAGCAGCACAUAUACUAACAUUGGAAUGAUACAGAGAAGAUCAGCCUGGCUCCUGUACAAGGAUGACAUGCACAUUCGUGAAGCUGUCCCUGUUUUU
rnacentral:snRNA from 1 species